UCCCUGAUAGCUCAGUUGGUUAAAGAAUCUGCCUGUAAUGCAGGAGACCCAGGUUUGAUUUCUGGGUUGGGAA
rfam:Ovis aries breed Texel chromosome 1, whole genome shotgun sequence.